GUCUACGGCCACGCCACCCUCAACAACCCCGAUGUCUGAUCCCAGAAGCUAAGCAGGGUCGGGCCUGGUUAGGGUUUGGAUGGGAGACCACCUAGCAAGAGCAGGUGCUGUAGGCA
rnacentral:rRNA from 1 species